GUAAAACAAGACUGAAGUUUGAAUGGAAACACAAAGGCUUAUUCAUGCAACACAAAGGCUUUUGUGCCAUGAUGUCAGAGCAAAGAAUGAUGGAUGAUGAAAUCAGAAGGUGCACAAAGAAAGAAAACAGAGGUGAACAGGUGGAUCAAAACAGAAGAGUGACUCAAGCGGCAGUAAAUCACCUUCCAAUCUCCAAGAAUACAGCACAUUAUAUGAGAAUUUCUGAUGGAUAUAUGAGACCGUGUCAUAUUUCAACCAUCGAGCGAGAAGAAGAAGGUCCAAAAUAGUCAAACAUUUGCACUGAAGGAACCAAAGAUCAUUUAUGGACUUCCUAAGAGGGAAGAGAGAGUCCUGCACCGUCUCUAAGCCUUGUCCAGGGGGGUGUUAAAGCACUGAUGUGUUUCAUCUUUGACCUCAACAGGUGCAAUAAACUGAUUAAAGGUCAGGGAAGAUUUGUCUUUUCUCCAAUAAAGAGUUAACACGCAGCCAGUAACAUCACAUGUCUGCUGUAAGAAAAAAAAAGCACAGGAACAGCAUGAUCCA